ACCUCGGCGAUUCGGCUUGGUGACGAACACCUUCCGGUCAGGCGAAGUUCGGUGAGAAUCCGAGACUGUCCCGCAACGGUGCGUUGGGCGCGAGGCCCACGAGUCCGGUCGCCCUGCCCGGUGAGGCAUU
rnacentral:ncRNA from 2 species